GACGUAGGGCGCGAGCGUUGUCCGGAUUUAUUGGGCGUAAAGAGCUCGUAGGCGGUCUGUUGCGUCGGUUGUGAAAACCUGGGGCUCAACUCCAGGCCUGCAAUCGAUACGGGCAGACUAGAGUUCGGUAGGGGAGACUGGAAUUCCUGGUGUAGCGGUGAAAUGCGCAGAUAUCAGGAGGAACACCGGUGGCGAAGGCGGGUCUCUGGGCCGAAACUGACGCUGAGGAGCGAAAGCGUGGGGAGCGAACAGG
rnacentral:rRNA from 1 species